rnacentral:rRNA from 1 species
UGGAAGCUUGCUUCCAGGCGUCGAGUGGCGGACGGGUGAGUAAUGCUUGGGAAUCUGCCUAAUAGUGGGGAACAACUCGGGGAAACUCGGGCUAAUACCGCAUAAUCUCUUCGGAGGAAAGGGGGCCUCUACAUGUAAGCUCUCGCUAAUAGAUGAGCCCAAGUCAGAUUAGCUUGUUGGUAAGGUAAUGGCUUACCAAGGCUACGAUCUGUAGCUGGUCUGAGAGGAUGAUCAGCCACACUGGGACUGAGACACGGCCCAGACUCCUACGGGAGGCAGCAGUGGGGAAUAUUGCACAAUGGGCGAAAGCCUGAUGCAGCAAUGCCGCGUGUGUGAAGAAGGCUCUAGGGUUGUAAAGCACUUUCAAUAAGGAAGAAAAGCAUAUGGUUAAUAACCUUAUGUAUUGACGUAACUUAUACAAGAAGCACCGGCUAAUUCCGUGCCAGCAGCCGCGGUAAUACGGAAGGUGCAAGCGUUAAUCGGAAUUACUGGGCGUAAAGCGCGCGUAGGCUGUUAUUUAAGUCGGAUGUGAAAUCCUCGGGCUCAACCUGGGAACUGCAUCCGAAACUGAAUAACUAGAGUAUGGGAGAGGUAAGUAGAAUUUCCGGUGUAGCGGUGAAAUGCGUAGAUAUCGGAAGGAAUACCAGUG